UGGCAUGAAUGGUCUGACGAGAGCUACACUGUCUCCUCUUUAUUAUCUAGAAAUUAACCUAUAGGUGAAGAGGCCUAUAUUAUAUUGAAGGACAAGAAGACCCUGUCGAGCUUAAAAGUAAAGUAAGAAUUAGCUAUAGAAGGAAAUCAAUAAAUUACAUAACUUUUUAGUUGGGGCGACUAAGGAACAAAUAAAGCUUCUUUUAUUUUUAUAGAUUAACAGAUCUUGAUCCAGCUAACGCUGAUUAGAGGAAUUAGUUACCGCAGGGAUAACAGCAUAAUCUCCUU
rnacentral:rRNA from 1 species